UAUGUGUUGAUUGCCUGCAUACAUGUC
rnacentral:piRNA from 1 species